GCGGACGUGGUGAAAUCGGUAAACGCGGUCGGCUCAAGCCCGGCUGUCUCGGCUUGAGGGUUCGAGCCCCUCCGUCCGCACCA
rnacentral:tRNA from 1 species